rnacentral:lncRNA from 1 species
AGGGGAGCCUAGAAGACGUGCUUCGGUUUCCAGGAUGGUUGUGUUUCCCAGAGAGGCGUAGGUAAACCAUGGGCGCAGCUCUGCCUCCCACAGAUAAUUCCGGUUCAUUGUGGAACCAGCACAGAUUUUCAUAGGAAAGUUAUUUUUUUUAACCUCAAAAAGUGACAGAAUGGAGUGUAUCAUGGAAAAGUCUGACAUAAAACCCUCAAAAUGUGAUAUUGAUUGGGCGAGAUAGAAUUCCAUGGAAUUUCAUUGCCAAACCAGUGAAGUGCUAAUUUUGACAUUUGUACCAGCUAAUGUAGCUGUGAAGAAGCACACCAAUACCACUUCUAAGAUUCAUAUACAUACGCUCUUCCGACAGCACAGCAUAGACCAAGAACUGGGUUUCAUAUGGAUGAAUUUAUUCUUCCUUUGA